CUAGAACUCAAACCAAACCAAAACCAAAUGGUUAGGUUCGAUUGAUUCCACUUCUUAAAAAAAAUCAUACAAUUUUAUUGUCAAAAAAACCAUUAGUUCAUGGCUUAGUCCGGUGGAACUAGAACAAAAUGGAACCACGUCCACCCCAUAUGUAUUUCAACAUUUGGAUAGUUUCUCUUUUCAUAUCUUGCAACUUUGAAUCCACAUCUUAAAUGAACAUAAUCGAAUUUGAAAUUUGUUUGCCAAGUUAUUCUAGAUUUGAUUCCGAAGGUGGUUAAAUAAAUUUUGAUUCAGGAAAUCAAAAGAAAAUAGGGAGAAAAACAAAAAUCAAUUUCCGAUCCUUUCAUAUUCAUAGAAUAGUCGAAAAAAUUCAAAAGUUAAAAACAAACCAAAACUGUAGAUAGAUGCGAUUAAAAAAAAAAGACUAUGAUUCAAAACACGAGUCGAGCCUUUUUCACUCAAUUUCAUCGAUCUGCUAAGAAUUUCUAAUAAAAAAACACUCGCGAUUUAGGAAAUCAAAUGAAAAUUAAACAAAAAUCAAUUUUCGUUCGUUCAUAUUCAAAGAAUAAUUGCAAAAAGGGGUGAGGAAAAAUGUAGCGAUUUGUUCGAGGCCGUAAUCAAAAUUGAAAAUAGAUUUGAAAGGCACGGAGAAUCGCAGACUAUAUUGCCAACCUUCAAUGCAAGUGAUUCAUCAUUGUUAAAUCGACGCCCUUGCUCUGCAAAUUGGCUUUUCCCCCAUUAUAGUGCAAAAUAAAUCCAAUAAAAAUUCAGAGAAAAUAAUUGAAAAAUCGAUAAAAUUAAAACGAUAAAGAAUCCCCAAAUAUUAAUAAG
rnacentral:lncRNA from 1 species